rnacentral:lncRNA from 1 species
GCUGCUGUUCUCACCCCCCUACCCCACCCAGGACUUGGCAGGGCAUGAGUGGGUAUGUUAUGAGGGGGAGUCCUGAAUUGAUCUGGACCCCACAACUGUCCCUCACCUCCACCCACUCCUCAGACAGGAGCUCAAGUCCAGCCUCUGCUAAGUCUGCUGCCUCCUUUCCCCUGUCUCAGGGGCCCUGAUCCCCUCUUUCUGCAGAGAGAGUCAGGGCAGAGGGAGGCAGUGUUUCUGCUGGGUCUGUGGAGGAGGCCGAGGGCUGGGUGUACCCUGGCUGGCAGCCCAGGAAGCCUGAGCAUGUAAUUAAAAGAUUGUAUCUUCUCGGGUCUGCCUUUUGGGACAAGAGCUCCCAGUGUUGUCUUCGCUUUAUGACCUCUGUUUGGGCACUUAGUCCCCUGCUGCCUGGCUCUGUUCUGUCCUCUUAGGCAGGGCUGGCAGCUCAGUUCAACUGGUUCUGAGCACAGGGAGGAUAGACUCCCCUUCUCUCCUUGUAGCAGGGUGAGAGAUCGGCCUCCCUACUGCUGGUAAAGCACCGUAGCAUCCAUCCUCGAGGGAGAUAUCCUCAUUUUACAGAGUCCACCCAGCUAGUAAACCUACCCUUGGCUCCAGCUCUCCUAGCCUGGGAAUCCCGGGGCACUCUUGGUCCUGAUGCCAGGCCCAGGGGCCAGCGUCCUCCUCCAGACUUGCUUUUCCAAGAGGCCCCACCUCUGCCAGCUGGCUCGUCCGAGACAGGAACAAGGGCGUCCUCCGAGGUGAUCUGCUGCCUCCGCCUUGCUGGCUGCUGUCCUUGAAACGGUAGCUUAUCAAGGUAGGAAGAUGGGAAAUUCCGCUCUCUACUAUCCCAUCACACUUGUGGUUCACGUUUGUGCCAUGAAUCAAUGUCACGUCUGGAAGUCAGAGGUACUUAAACUUAACCCAAAUGCACAUUCUUUCCCUUUUUGAAAACUAAGAAACAUCUUGUGUUUCCCUGGCUAUUGGCUUCUUUCCCAAAUUUCUCAGAAUUCAUGGACAGUGGCUCUGUAAUCUUAUCUCCAAGUUCUGAUGAGAUUCCUCUGAAGCUGAAGCUUGUGUAAUUUCGCCAGAUGCUCCCACACCUCUUCUCUGAUCUUAGGCUUGAUAUUCUUCUUCUGGAAUCUGCCUUUACACUUCUAGUUUGAGAAUUACUACUCUUUUUAUUUUUUUUUAAGAUUUUAUUUAUUUAUUCAUGAGAGACACACAGGCAGAGGGAGAAGCAGGCUCCUCGCAGGGGAGCCCGAUGUGGGACUCGAUCCCAGGACCCCGGGAUCACAACCUGAGCCAAAGGCAGACGCUCAACCACUGAGCCACCCAGAUGCCCCAAGAA